GACAGAAAACUGAAACUGGACAGACUUGCAGAAAGCAAUCGGGGCAGAUAGACCAAGCGAUCUGCCCAAAUCACUGCCCCAAUCACAUUGACAGCAGAAUUGACAGCAGAAGCGGGAAAAGAGCAGAAAAUCCAAAUUCAAAGAAAAGAAGUCCAAGUCCACUUCAAACACCACAAGAUCAGUCCCAAGAGCCACGCCCUUCACUUAGAGAGUUCCAUUCUCAAUCAAAUACAAAGUCCAAAGAGGAAUCAAAGACUACAAAGAAGACCAAAUCAAAUUGAGAUUUCAAAACCCUAAUCAA
rnacentral:lncRNA from 1 species